UACGUAGGGUGCAAGCGUUGUCCGGAAUUAUUGGGCGUAAAGAGCUUGUAGGCGGUUUGUCGCGUCUGCUGUGAAAUCCCGAGGCUCAACCUCGGGCCUGCAGUGGGUACGGGCAGACUGGAGUGCGGUAGGGGAGAAUGGAAUUCCUGGUGUAGCGGUGGAAUGCGCAGAUAUCAGGAGGAACACCGAUGGCGAAGGCAGUUCUCUGGGCCGUAACUGACGCUGAGGAGCGAAAGCGUGGGGAGCGAACAGG
rnacentral:rRNA from 1 species